CACGCCGUAAACGAUGGAUACUAGCUGUUCGGAGCAAUCUGAGUGGCUAAGCGAAAGUGAUAAGUAUCCCACCUGGGGAGUACGUUCGCAAGAAUGAAACUCAAAGGAAUUGACGGGGGCCCGCACAAGCGGAGGAGCAUGUGGUUUAAUUCGAUGAUACGCGAGGAACCUUACCAGGGCUUAAAUGGGAGACGACAGGACUGGAAACAGUUUUUUCUUCGGACGUCUUUCAAGGUGC
rnacentral:rRNA from 1 species